rnacentral:rRNA from 1 species
CAGUCGCCACGGUAAUACGAAGGGGGCUAGCGUUAAUCGGAAUCACUGGGCGUAAAGCGUGCGCAGGCGGUUCGUUAGGACAGAUGUGAAAUCCCCGGGCUUAACCUAGGAACUGCAUUUGUGACUGGCGAGCUAGAGUAUGGCAGAGGGGGGUAGAAUUCCACGUGUAGCAGUGAAAUGCGUAGAGAUGUGGAGGAAUACCGAUGGCGAAGGCAGCCCCCUGGGCCAAUACUGACGCUCAUGCACGAAAGCGUGGGGAGCAAACAGGAUUAGAUACCCCGGUAGUCCCUGUCUCUUAUAC